UACGUAGGGACCAAGCGUUGUUCGGAUUUACUGGGCGUAAAGGGCGCGUAGGCGGCAAUUCAAGUCAUCUGUGAAAUCUCCGGGCUUAACUCGGAACGGUCAGAUGAUACUGCUUUGCUAGAGUGCAGAAGGGGCAAUCGGAAUUCUUGGUGUAGCGGUGAAAUGCGUAGAUAUCAAGAGGAACACCUGAGGUGAAGACGGGUUGCUGGGCUGACACUGACGCUGAGGCGCGAAAGCGUGGGUAGCAAACAGG
rnacentral:rRNA from 1 species